rnacentral:rRNA from 1 species
UAACAAGGAUUCCCCUAGUAACUGCGAGUGAAGCGGGAAAAGCUCAAAUUUAAAAUCUGGCAGUCUCACUGUCCGAGUUGUAAUCUGGAGAAGCAUUUUCUGUGCUAUACCGUGUACAAGUCUCUUGGAAUAGAGCGUCAUAGAGGGUGAGAAUCCCGUCCAUGACACGGAUUACUAGUGCUUUGUGAUAUGCUCUCGAAGAGUCGAGUUGUUUGGGAAUGCAGCUCAAAAUGGGUGGUAAAUUCCAUCUAAAGCUAAAUAUUGGCGAGAGACCGAUAGCGAACAAGUACCGUGAGGGAAAGAUGAAAAGCACUUUGGAAAGAGAGUUAAACAGUACGUGAAAUUGUUGAAAGGGAAACGCUUGAAGUCAGUCGCGUUGUCUGAGACUCAGCCUUGCUUGCAUGGUGUACUUCUCAGUUAACGGGUCAACAUCAAUUUCAGUUGGUGGAUAAAGGCAUUGGGAAUGUGGCACCUUCGGGUGUGUUAUAGCCCUUUGUUGCAUACACUGACCGGGAUUGAGGAACGCAGCACGCCACUAAGGCCAGGGGUUCGCCCCAUGUAACGUGCUUAGGAUGUUGGCAUAAUGGCUUUAAGCGACCCGUCUUGAAACACGGACCAAGGAGUCUAACAUGCCUGCGAGUAUUAGGGUGGAAAACCCUUGUGCGUAAUGAAAGUGAAAGUUGGGACCUCUUUGAGGGCACCGACGCCUGGCCCUGAAGUUUACUGACGGCGCUACGGUAGAGCAUGUAUGUUGGGACCCGAAAGAUGGUGAACUAUGCCUGAAUAGGGUGAAGCCAGGGGAAACUCUGGUGGAGGCUCGUAGCGAUUCUGACGUGCAAAUCGAUCGUCAAAUUUGGG